AGAUGGCAGCAUCUGUUUUGGCCAAAGGCAGAGGGGUGGCUGUUUUCAGCACCACCAAAGGCCUGUUCCUCAUGUUUACCCUGCUGUGUCUGUUUUGCCUUUCAACUUCGCUGACAAACAAGAACCAACUGGUAAACUAAUUUUCCAUAUUUUAAUAUGCAGCUGUUUUGUCAUGUACUAUGAAACUAUAUGAAAAUGUCUGUCAGCCAAUUCCAAACUAUAACCACAUGUUCACUGUCAAGGUGCAGGAAGUGUUCAAUGAAUGUUAUGAGAAAGCACAAGAAGAAAUGGAUGAACUGAUGGAGUACAAGUCAGACAUGUUGAAAGCUUCAGAGCUGGUAGAUGAUUAUCUGGCUGUCAUCGACCCAGUGAUAGCAGUGUUCAAGAAAACUGAUGCGCUGGUUGGUGAAACAGAUCCUGACACAGAUAUGGAGGACCUUAAGGUUUCCAUGGAAGAAACCAAAGCUGAAAUAGACCUCAUAAAUGAAGAGCUUGAUGAAGGAAUUACAUUGAAGGAAAAGCAACUAAGAAAGAUGAAGACAUUGAUCGAAUACAUUGAGGAGCAGCACACUGAACUGUAACUUUUAUGUAAACCGAUAAAAGUUAUGAUUCACAUGUGCUGCACACCUUUUACUAGAACUUCCUUUGAAACUAUGAAUUAUUUUUGCCUGUUUGAAAACUUGUAGUGAAUACAUUGAUACAAUUUAAAUACAACUAUCAAAAUAUUUGAAAAUAUAAACAAUGUCAAUGUAAAAUAAUACAAAAUAAAAACAUUUACUUUAUAUUGAUAUUCUGUUACUUAUGUCAGCGACAGACAAAACUAAUGACAGACAUCUUGACCUGGCAUAGGUUCAAUUGUCCUGGUAAGGCAUGAAAGUGAACUGCUCCCAAACAGAAUAUUUUUUCUGAAAUCUCUACGCCAUAAAUACAUUCCUGUUUUUGUCUUCUGUAAUGUCAGCUAUGAAAAUGGUCUAUACAUGAAUAACUAAGUUUUGUCUUCUAUAUUAGAUAAUAGAAACUGGGAUAAAUUAUAGGGUUUGUCUUCUUUUUAAGAAAUUGUUAAAACAUUCUGUACAUGAUUAGAUAAAUGCAUCUGUUCUGUGAAUAAAUGAAGGUUUCUUUAAAUUGUCUUACAUGUCUUUGAAAGACUGAAAUCCGCAACAGAUUGCAAAUCUAAAUCUAUGUUAGCUUAAGCCAUCUGAUCAGACCACUGAGGCUUGAGGGGAAAGCAAGAAGAAAGAAGAGAAAG
rnacentral:lncRNA from 1 species